GCACCGGUAGCUCAGUCGGUAGAGCAACUGGCUCUUAACCAGUGGGUCGUGGGUUCGAAUCCCGCCCGGUGUA
rnacentral:tRNA from 1 species